rnacentral:tRNA from 1 species
GGGCCGGUGGUCAAGCCUGGUACUGACGCUGCCUUCGCAAGGCAGAAAUCGGGGGUUCGAAUCCCCCCCGGUCCA